UUGCUUUGAAGUUUGACAGUAAAAACAAAAUACAAAAUCCAACCAACUCGGUAGUUACCCAUUUAGUUUACAAUGAUACACACACCACCGUAGCAUAUAGCAGAAGUAGAUAACAGAAUCUAUCUUCGUUGGAUAAGAAAUUUUCCCACUUUCGCAAAAGCCUUGUGGCUUCUAACAAUGGCUUCUUCAGUUACUUCUUCUUUUCAAAUCAGUUGAUUAGGAGGAAAUAGGAAUAAUUGUGUAUGGAAUGGAGAGAAGGAAAUAGGACAACAACUUGG